rnacentral:lncRNA from 1 species
CUCAGGUUGGUUGAGCCGCACUCGAAUCUGAACAUUCAUUUGUUGGAUGUACUUGGUAUAGUCAUGUUAAUGGUUGGAUCUAAUUAGAAUUUUUAGUAGAGGCACCACAUGCUUGCAGAAGAGAUGCCUAGGGCAAAACCUAAUUGCUAGAAGUUAUUUAGAAAAAUAAUUAGUUAUGAACCUACCCAUAGAUGCACUAGGAUUGACUGAGCUACACU